GGAUGAGCCCGCGGCCUAUCAGCUUGUUGGUGAGGUAAUGGCUCACCAAGGCGACGACGGGUAGCCGGCCUGAGAGGGCGACCGGCCACACUGGAACUGAGACACGGUCCAGACUCCUACGGGAGGCAGCAGUGGGGAAUAUUGCACAAUGGGCGAAAGCCUGAUGCAGCGACGCCGCGUGGGGGAUGAAGGCCUUCGGGUUGUAAACCCCUUUCAGCAGGGAAGAAGCGAAAGUGACGGUACCUGCAGAAGAAGCACCGGCUAACUACGUGCCAGCAGCCGCGC
rnacentral:rRNA from 1 species